rnacentral:rRNA from 1 species
AGACUAACAGGAUUCCCCUAGUAACUGCGAGUGAAGCGGGAAAAGCUCAAAUUUAAAAUCUGGCGGUCUUUGGCCGUCCGAGUUGUAAUCUAGAGAAGUAAUGCCCGUGCUGGACCGUGUAUAAGUCUCCUGGGAUGGGGCGUCAUAGAGGGUGAGAAUCCCGUCUUUGACACGGACUACCAGUGCAUUGUGGUAUGCUCUCAAAGAGUCGAGUUGUUUGGGAAUGCAGCUCAAAAUGGGUGGUAAAUUCCAUCUAAAGCUAAAUAUUGGCGAGAGACCGAUAGCGAACAAGUACCGUGAGGGAAAGAUGAAAAGAACUUUGGAAAGAGAGUUAAACAGUACGUGAAAUUGCUGAAAGGGAAACGCUUGAAGUCAGUCGCGUUGGCCAGGGAUCAGCCUUGCUUUUGCAUGGUGUACUUUCUGGUUGACGGGUCAGCAUCAAUUUUGACCGCUGGAAAAGGGCCUGGGGAAUGUGGCAGCUUCGGCUGUGUUAUAGCCCCUGGUCGCAUACAGUGGUUGGGAUUGAGGAACUCAGCACGCCGCAAGGCCGGGUUUCGACCACGUUCGUGCUUAGGAUGCUGGCAUAAUGGCUUUAAGCGACCCGUCUUGAAACACGGACCAAGGAGUCUAACAUGCCUGCGAGUAUUUGGGUGGAAAACCCGAGUGCGCAAUGAAAGUGAAAGUUGAGAUCCCUGUCGUGGGGAGCAUCGACGCCCGGACCAGAACUUUUGGGACGGAUCCGCGGUGGAGCAUGUAUGUUGGGACCCGAAAGAUGGUGAACUAUGCCUGAAUAGGGUGAAGCCAGAGGAAACUCUGGUGGAGGCUCGUAGCGAUUCUGACGUGCAAAUCGAUCGUCAAAUUUGGGUAUAGGGGCGAAAGACUAAUCGAAUCAUCUAGUAGCUGGUUCCUGCCGAA